AGUUCGGAUUGUAGUCUGCAACCCGACUACAUGAAGCUGGAAUCGCUAGUAAUCGCGGAUCAGAAUGCCGCGGUGAAUACGUUCCCGGGUCUUGUACACACCGCCCGUCACACCAUGGGAGUCGGAAAUGCCCGAAGUCUGUGACCCAACCUUAGGGAGGGAGCAGCCGAAGGCAGGUCGGAUGACUGGGGUGAAGUCGUAACAAGGUAGC
rnacentral:rRNA from 1 species